UUGAAUAGGUAAUGGUUGUU
rnacentral:siRNA from 1 species